rnacentral:rRNA from 1 species
UACAGAGGAUGCAAGCGUUAUCCGGAAUGAUUGGGCGUAAAGCGUCUGUAGGUGGCUUUUUAAGUCCGCCGUCAAAUCCCAGGGCUCAACUCUGGACAGGCGGUGGAAACUACCAAGCUAGAGUACGGUAGGGGCAGAGGGAAUUUCCGGUGGAGCGGUGAAAUGCGUAAAGAUCGGAAAGAACACCAACGGCGAAAGCGCUCUGCUGGGCCGACACUGACACUGAGAGACGAAAGCUAGGGGAGCGAAUGGG